rnacentral:lncRNA from 1 species
CCCCUGGGUGUCCCCGUGCCACCCGGGGCUGGGGCGUCUGGGUGUCACCUGCCCCCUGGGGUGUCCCCAGGUCCCCUGGGUCCCCCCAUGUCAGCCUGGAUUGGGACAUUUCGGUGUCCCUUGGGUGACCCCUGUCCCCUGGGGUAUCCCCGUGUCCCCUGGGUGUCCCCCUGUGCCCUGGGGUGUCCCCGUGUCACCCUGGAUUGGGACAUUUCGGUGGCCCUUGGGUGACCCCUGUCCCCUGGGGUAUCCCCGUGUCCCCUGGGUGUCCCCCUGUGCCCUGGGGUGUCCCCGUGCCACCCAGGGCUGGGGCAUCUGGGUGUCACCUGCCCCCUGGGAUGUCCCCGUGUCCCUGGGGUAUCUCCCUAUUACCCUGUACAGGAACGUUCUGGUGUCCCCGUGUCCCCUGGGGUGUCCCCGUGUCCCCUGGGUCCCCCCGUGACACCCUGGAUUGGGACAUUUCGGUGUCCCUUGGGUGUCCCCACGUCCCCUGGGGUGUCCCCACAUUACCCUAGGUUGGGACGUUCUGGCGUCCCCGUGUCACCCUGAGCGUCCCCGUGUCACCCUGAGCGUCCCCGUGUCACCCCGCGGCUGGGCCCGUCCCGCUGCCACCCUCGGCUGGGGACCUCUCGGUGUCCCCCGCGCUGUCCCCAGCGGGAGGGGACUCAGCGAGCCCAGCGGCUCCAAAAAGCUCCAAAAUCGGCUUUUUUUAUUACAAA